UACGUAGGGUGCGAGCGUUGCCCGGAUUUAUUGGGCGUAAAGGGCGCGUAGGCGGCCACGCACGUCCGUUGUGAAAUCGCUCGGCUCAACUGGGCGGGGUCAGCGGAUACGGCGUGGCUAGAGCAAGCUAGGGGGCAAUGGAAUUCCCGGUGUAGUGGUGGAAUGCGUAGAUAUCGCUUGGAACGCCGAAGGUGAAAACAGACUGCUGGGGUUGCGCCGACGCUGAGACACGAAAGCCAGGGGAGCAAACGGGG
rnacentral:rRNA from 1 species